rnacentral:rRNA from 1 species
AGAGAGAGACAUGCGCGCAUAUCAAUAAGCGGAGGAAAAGAAACUAACAAGGAUUCCCUUAGUAACGGCGAGUGAAGCGGGAAGAGCUCAAAUUUGAAAUCUUCAAGGUUUUACCUUGACGAAUUGUAGUUUAAAGAAGUGUUUUCUGCUGAAGUUUUGGUAAAAGUUCUUUGGAAUAGGACAUCAUAGAGGGUGAGAAUCCCGUAUUUGACCAUUAUUUUCAGCUUUGUGAUACACUUUCAAAGAGUCGGAUUGUUUGGGAAUGCAGUACCAAAAUGGGUGGUAAAUUUCAUCUAAAGCUAAAUAUUGGCGAGAGACCGAUAGCGAACAAGUACCGUGAGGGAAAGAUGAAAAGAACUUUGAAAAGAGAGUUAAACAGUACGUGAAAUUGUCAAAAGGGAAGCGUUUGACACCAGUGUUGUUUUCUCGAAAAUCAAUUAAAAAUGGCUCGAUUUUGUAUUGCUGAGACCUUAAAAGCUCACUGUACAUUUUUCGUGUCUUUUUUAAUGCACUUUUCGUUUAACAAGUCAACAUCAGUUUCUUUUGUUGUGAAAGGGUCAUUGGAAGGUGGCUUUCUUUUCGGAGAAAGUGUUUAUAGCCUUUGGCCUCUGCAAUCGGAGAGACUGAGGUCUGCAGCGUAGACUCUUCGGGGUUAGAUACAUUUGUGCUAAGUUAUAGCUUUUUAUAGACAACUUGUUGACUAUGAUUAGUCAUUGUAGCUUACUCGCUUAUGCUAUUUUACCUACGCUUAGGAUGUUGAAGAUGUAGCACAUCAU